UACUUAGACAUGAAGAAAUACUAAAAACUCCUUGGAUACUGAUUACUGACAAGUAGAACCCUAACCUUGUCUAUAGCUACAAACCAAUUUCAAACAUAAAAGUAACAACUGUUAAGCAUGUUGUGAUUGAUCCAAAAGUAGAGGUGGCAAAGAUCUUUGAUUGGAAAAGAUAACUGAAGCAUGCGAAGAGGAUCUUGGAAAGCUCAAGAGCUCCUGUUCAAUUCUAAUCUGAUCGAGACGCACAUCAAUCUCUUUGCAUCUGGCAGCUAUGUCGAACUUUUCUAGCAUGAUUGCAUUCUCAAGCAAAUAUUUAACCAAUGGAAGAACAAACUUAUUUACACUUAAUGGUCCAACCAAGUUAAUGAACUUGAUAGUCUUCAGAUGUAGCAAUGGGCAGUUAAAUUUAUGUGUCUCAAACGUCCUGAUUUGCCUUUCCUUAUCCUUAAAAGAAUACGCAUAUAAAUACUGCACGAAAGAAUUCGCAAACAUUAACCAGUUAUUCUCCUCAGAUGGACGUAAAAGCCAAUGAAUUGAUAGUUAGAUAAAAUAAAAAGGUGAUGAAUUAUUUUUCAGAUUCAAGAAACAAGUCAAGUGCUUAGCAAAAGUUACAAAGUGGUAUAAGCAAACAAAAAAAGAAAAAUGUUUCAACGCUUUAUUGAAGCUGGUCCUUUAUCUCUUUGCGUGAAGGUGAGUACUAUUCCUUGUGAAACUUCUUUUUCUCAAAAAAAAGGUCAUUAUAGAAGUGGAUUACUCAUAGAAUCAACUUUGACAGUGACAAAUCUCUGAUAAAGAGCUGGCAGUUGCAGACUAGGACAAAAGAGACCAGUAAGGAACAAAUAAUAUCGUAUUGAUGAAAGCCUCAAUGCUCGCGUACUAAGAAGAACUUUUUUGACUACUUUCCUUCAUCAAAGCCAGAAGCAAAGGGCAAAAACUCCACAACUAGUAACUAAGGGGUUGAAGGGAAUACCUAAAGAUCCAACAAACAAAGAAAAAAUCUUUAUACAAAUACGAGUGAUAGCAUAGUAUAGUUCGAUACACAAGGACAGUUGUAUGUGGCUGGUCAUUAGAUGUCACCGCUUCAAACAGAUGUACAAUAUGUGAGAUAGAAUGUCAGCCUUUGUAAGAAACAAAAUGCGGGUGGAACCCGACUCUUUAUUUAAUGUGGAUGUUGUGAAGCAGUCGCAAAACAUUCUUGGCCCUAUGAACCUAUUAUUGAAGAAAUUAAAGAGUUGAUUCAUAACUCUAUUCUUAGGGCAUUGGAACAGUAAGAGGUAAUGCAAUCAAAUCCCCUCUUUGUAACCUUUUAGCAUUAUCUGUGAAAUAUGCCACUAAGGUGAUGAUUAAUUGAGUUUUAUGAUUUCUUUCCUAGUGUACUUGAGAUCAGAAAUAUGCUGAUAUAUCCUCUUCUUCUUCAACUAAUAGUAGUUUGACAUUGAUAACAUAAAGUAACAAAAAUAAAGGUACAAAAGAAACUUACUAUUGGUCUGUGAUAGCACUGGUCAACCACCAAUGUCUCGAGAUCCGGUGAAUUUGGGAAAAUCACUUAUUUAGUCUUCCGGUGUCGUGAUUUUUUUUUGCAUUUUCACUUUUGAUAAAGCUGAGCUCUGUUGUUUAUAAAAUGAAUUAAUUUUAAUCUUAUGGUUAAUUAUAAAUCUAUAACCAAGAAUAAUGAAAAUCGAUGCAUCAACAGACAAACCAACUUUUGCUAUAGUUUUCUACUUGGUCUUUCUCAAAAAAAAAUUGAUGCAAGGGAAACCCGCAGCCGCUACCCUUUGGGUGCGCACAAGGUAGAACCCCGCUCCUACUCAAUAGCUAGCAAAUCACAUAGGAGAGGUAACCCGCACUAGGCAAUCCCGGUGCGACGAGCUCGACCCAGAAGGCAAACCCCCUUGCUUUCGAAAGCAAGGGGAUUCGAACUUGAGACCUUCAACAUGGAAGUCCCAAGCCCAAACCACUGGGUCACCCCGAAGGGUCUGGUCUUUCUCAAUUUUUAUUUUUUAUAUCAAGAAUAUUAAAUUGUAUAGAAUUAAUUGGUUAUAAUUCACAAAGAACAUUCCAAAUCUACAACCUGGAAUAGCCUAAGUUGCUAGGACUCGGGUGCUGGAUACGGCUGCGGAUCUAAAGGUAGGAUCCUUCAUGAUCUAAUUUUUAAGAUUCGGAGAUAUGGAUCCAUGUAUGGAUACGGGUGUCGGGGUUCACCUAAAAAUAGAGUUAUAAAGCCUAAAUUAUGAGAUAUUAUUUUGGAGAAUUUGAGGAGAAUCUUGGAAGGAGAAUAAAUGAAAGGGAGUGACAUAGAAAUUUCUAUAUAAAAGGUAUUCCAUAUGCUUCAAUCUUACCUUAGCUUUAGUAUUGAUUACAGAAAUCAUUAAAACUGUCCAAACUUUCCCCAUUGAUUUUGGUCAAAGUACCCAAAAUUGGUUGACUGAAUCAGACAUGAUCCCACACCCACACACAUUUCGUGUCGACACGGGUGCGACACCAAAAGUGAAGAGUCCAAGCAACUAACGGAAUAGCUAUGCUUUCACUUGUCUUUCACAAAAUCGUUAUCUUGUAAUAGAAUUCAAAUAAGGAAAGGAUCUAUACAAGGAUCUAUACAAGAUGAUUCAUAAUAGGACUUUCUGAUAGUUCAGAUAAAGCAAUGAUUUGAUGCAAAAAAUGUACAUAUCUGAAACAGAUAAUGUUUGUCCUAUUUAGCUAGCUUAAUAAAUGAAGAAACCCUAAAGGUCAUGUGUGGAAUAGAAUGAAAUAAAUAAGUUUUAUAAUUAAUUGUAAUUACAAUUUUCUCUAACAUUCUUUUUGAGCGGAAUUCUCUAAUAUUGAAUGCACGUACAAAGAAAGGUAAAAGAAAAUGGAUAAAAUAUUAUGUGUUGAAGUUUCGUGCCUUUAUAUAGUUUAGAUAGAUAGAUUGUGCAUUUAGAAAUUGGAGUUCAUUUUCUUCCAUUUUACAGUAAUUUGGUUUUACUUGCCGUAUUUCUCAUUUCACUUUCAUUCAGCAUGAUUUCUAUUAUAACGCACCAAAGGGUGUGGCCUACUGGUCAAGGAAAUGGUUGAAAACCUGAGGUCUCAGGUUCAAAACUCAGUGGAGACAAAAAACACUAGAUGAUUCUUCCAAUUGUCCUAGGCUCCUAGCGUGGGUGGACAGAGUUACCUGGUUACCUGUUGUUGGUGCAAGGUGGGAGGUGGUAGGUAUUCCGUGGAAUUAGUCGAGGUGCGCGAAAGCUGACCUGGACACCACGAUCAUCAAAAAAUAUGAUUUGUAUUAUGGUAAAAGCUAUAAAUUAAAUCAAUUUUGAGUGCACAAAGAACAACCUGCAGCUUGUGGAUUUAGCUCUCAGUGAGAAACUUGCAAUUAAAUAGGCUGGAGAAAACUCAUAAAGAAGAAGGUAUUUCUAAGCUACUUCAAACAAUGAGGGAUAGUUAGUACUAGAAAUUCAGAGAGAAGGAUAGACAGGAAGACUCUUUCAUACCGUCCUUGUUAUGUGACGAGGAUGAGGUACAAAGUAAUAUAAGAGUAGUUCGGUCAUCGAUAUCAAUACAUAUCUAUUUGAAUAGAUUUACUUACAAUGCAUAUUUACAAUCUCAUAAAAGGUAUUGUUCACAUACACCGAGAGAAAAAUAUUAUGAUCACAAACCCCUCCAUGCAGUGGAGGAACUAGGUGAAGGGAAGGUGAAAAACUAUACUCAUAAGUAGGAUAAAGUUGAACAUAUUUGGUUACAUAUAAGUUGUUGAAUCCCUUUGACAUAAGGAAAAUUUCUAGUGUAGUGGUAAAGGGGGUUCGAAAAUCACUUCAAGUCACUGGUUCAAAUCCAAACUAUCAAAUUCUGGUAUUUGUUCCGUAUAUAAGUUUCUAGUGAAAGGCUUUUAAUGCAAACUAAAUCGAAAGCUAAUGAAAGACCAGAGAACUUGGUCCUCUAAGCCCUCAAUUCAUUUUGAAAUCACUUCACUCCGGGUUACCGCACAAUCCAUUUCAAGCAUCAUAAUGGUAACACUAUUAAAUAAUCCAGACGAAGCGGAGCAACCACUCCGAGUCUGUUUUCUCCAUUUAAUUACUUUAUCCCCUUUAUCAAAAUGGUAAAAAACUAUUACUUAUUAUAGCACUGAUUUAGUGCAAUAUAUGAGAAGCACAUAAUGUAGGUAUGUUUUUUUAUCAAAAGUGUAUUUUCAAAGUUCAUAUAAGCUUGUAAAAUACUGGUCAGUAACAAAUUGGGGAGGAACAUCAGAAUUAGAAAUUGAUAGAAAAGCAAGGAUAUGGGCUCAUGUAAGUAGGAAACAAAAAAUAUCUAUUCUAGUUCUAUUUGACAAUAGCAAAGAGAAGGAAAGGAGUUGAAAGUCAGUUGACUGUAAGAAGAGAGCAUAGUUUGUAUUCUCAAAUGAUAUCAGAGGGAUUUGCACACAAUCCUAUGAAUUUACUCUUUCUUACUAAUUGCAGUGCAGGAUCUCAUAUGUUUGUGUUAAUAACAUAAGCUAACAGAAACAAAACAUUGGACACAUAAUGAAUCUAGAAAUACAAUUUUUUUUGCAAAAUGACCAGGAUUCAGCAAUAUGAAUAUAUAUCACAAAGCAUUUGGAACAAGAGAUCACACAUGAACAUGAUGAUUGGAUAAUAAACACAUUGUUAAGUACUUAGACAUGAAGAAAUACUAAAAACUCCUUGGAUACUGAUUACUGACAAGUAGAACCCUAACCUUGUCUAUAGCUACAAACCAAUUUCAAACAUAAAAGUAACAACUGUUAAGCAUGUUGUGAUUGAUCCAAAAGUAGAGGUGGCAAAGAUCUUUGAUUGGAAAAGAUAACUGAAGCAUGCGAAGAGGAUCUUGGAAAGCUCAAGAGCUCCUGUUCAAUUCUAAUCUGAUCGAGACGCACAUCAAUCUCUUUGCAUCUGGCAGCUAUGUCGAACUUUUCUAGCAUGAUUG
rnacentral:lncRNA from 1 species